CCCUCGGUAGUUUAGUUGGUUAUAGCGCCAGAUUGUAAAUCUGGAUGUCGGCGGUUCGACUCCGCCCCGAGGGA
rnacentral:tRNA from 1 species